rfam:Asian citrus Psyllid, Diaphorina citri - Florida Strain, whole genome shotgun sequence.
GCCAGCGGCGAAAGCUCGUUGAAUCCAUUAGCUUCUGAUGGAUCACUGAAGUUAAGAUAAGUUGCGCGUGGUUGGUAAUCGAAUGGGUGACCAUCUGGACAAUCAAGGGCUGCUGGAU